rnacentral:rRNA from 1 species
CGUAGGGAACCGUGCCCACUGCGGCCCGGGACGAACUUCCGGAAACGGAUGCUGAUACCGGAUAAGGAAAGCGAAGGCAUCUUUGCUUUGUUAAAGGAGCUGCAAGGCUCCGCGCAUGGAUGGACCUGCGGUGCAUUAGCUGGUUGGUGAGGUAAAGGCUCACCAAGGCGACGAUGCAUAGCCGGCCUGAGAGGGCGAACGGCCACACUGGGACUGAGACACGGCCCAGACUCCUACGGAAGGCAGCAG